CGCGGCCUAUCAGCUUGUUGGUGGGGUAAUGGCCUACCAAGGCGACGACGGGUAGCCGGCCUGAGAGGGCGACCGGCCACACUGGGACUGAGACACGGCCCAGACUCCUACGGGAGGCAGCAGUGGGGAAUAUUGCACAAUGGGCGGAAGCCUGAUGCAGCGACGCCGCGUGAGGGAUGACGGCCUUCGGGUUGUAAACCUCUUUCAGCAGGGACGAAGCGUGAGUGACGGUACCUGCAGAAGAAGCGCCGGCCAACUACGUGCCAGCAGCCGCGGUAAGACGUAGGGCGCGAGCGUUGUCCGGAUUUAUUGGGCGUAAAGAGCUCGUAGGCGGCUUGUCGCGUCGUCCGUGAAAACUUGGGGCUCAACUCCAAGCUUGCGGUCGAUACGGGCAGGCUAGAGUUCGGUAGGGGAGACUGGAAUUCCUGGUGUAGCGGUGAAAUGCGCAGAUAUCAGGAGGAACACCGGUGGCGAAGGCGGGUCUCUGGGCCGAUACUGACGCUGAGGAGCGAAAGCGUGGGGAGCGAACAGGAUUAGAUACCCUGGUAGUCCACGCUGUAAACGUUGGGCGCCAGGUGUGGGGGGCCUCUCCGGUUCUCUGUGCCGCAGCUAACGCAUUAAGCGCCCCGCC
rnacentral:rRNA from 1 species